GGCUCUCUGGGAUUGCUCAACUAGUAGAGUAUGAGACUCUUAAUCUCAGGGUCAUGGGUCCCAGCCCCACACUAAGCCA